rnacentral:tRNA from 1 species
GCCUGGGUGGCUUAGUGGGUUAAGCCUCUGCCUUUGGCUCAGAUCAUGAUCCCAGAGUCCUGGGAUCAAGUCCCACAUCAGGCU